GCCUGGGUGGCUCAGUCGGUUGAGUGUCUGACUUUGGCUCAGGUCAUGAGCUCACGGUUUGUGAGUUCGAGCCCCACGUCGGGCU
rnacentral:tRNA from 1 species